rnacentral:rRNA from 1 species
AUUGAACGCUGGCGGCAGGCCUAACACAUGCAAGUCGAACGAGUGGCGGACGGGUGAGUAAUGCCUGGGAAACUGCCUGAUGGGGGGGGAUAACUACUGGAAACGGUCGCUAAUACCGCAUACUAUCAGAUGUGCCCAGCUGGGAUUAGCUAGUUGGUGGGGUAAUGGCGUACCAAGGCGACGAUCCGUAGCUGGUCUGAGAGGAUGACCAGCCAAACUGGAACUGAGACACGGUCCAGACUCCUACGGGAGGCAGCAGUGGGGAAUAUUGGACAAUGGGCGCAAGCCUGAUGCAGCCAUGCCGCGUGUGUGAAGAAGGCCUUCGGGUUGUAAAGCACUUUAAGCUGGGAGGCGUUACCCGCAGAAGAAGCACCGGCUAACUCCGUGCCAGCAGCCGCGGUAAUUC